rnacentral:rRNA from 1 species
AGGCCAGACUCCUACGGGAGGCAGCAGUGGGGAAUAUUGCACGAUGGGGGAAACCCUGAUGCAGCGACGCCGCGUGAAGGAUGAAGUAUUUCGGUCUGUAAACUUCUAUCAGCAGGGAAGAAAAUGACGGUACCUGACUAAGAAGCCCCGGCUAACUACGUGCCAGCAGCCGCGGUAAUACGUAGGGGGCAAGCGUUAUCCGGAUUUACUGGGUGUAAAGGGAGCGUAGACGGCGAUGCAAGCCAGAUGUGAAAGCCCGGGGCUCAACCCCGGGACUGCAUUUGGAACUGUGUGGCUGGAGUGUCGGAGAGGCAGGCGGAAUUCCUAGUGUAGCGGUGAAAUGCGUAGAUAUUAGGAGGAACACCAGUGGCGAAGGCGGCCUGCUGGACGAUGACUGACGUUGAGGCUCGAAAGCGUGGGGAGCAAACAGGAUUAGAUACCCGGGUAUU